rnacentral:tRNA from 1 species
CUUGGAGUACCAGAGUGGCUAAUGGCACAGACUGCAAAUCUGAUGAUUCGUGGGUUCAAAUCCCACCUCCAAGU